UACGUAGGGGGCAAGCGUUGUCCGGAUUUAUUGGGCGUAAAGAGCUCGUAGGCGGUUGGGCAAGUCACGUGUGAAAUCUCCACGCUCAACGUGGAGGCGCCACGUGAGACUGCCCUGACUCGAGUCCGGUAGGGGAGCGUGGAAUUCCCGGUGUAGCGGUGAAAUGCGUUGAUAUCGAUAAGGAACUCCGGUGGCGAAGGCGGCAUACUGGUCCACUUCUGACG
rnacentral:rRNA from 1 species